rnacentral:rRNA from 1 species
AACGAACGCUGGCGGCAGGCUUAACACAUGCAAGUCGAGCGCCCCGCAAGGGGAGCGGCAGACGGGUGAGUAACGCGUGGGAACGUGCCCUUUGGUUCGGAACAACUCCGGGAAACUGGAGCUAAUACCGGAUAAGCCCUUCGGGGGAAAGAUUUAUCGACAAAGGAUCGGCCCGCGUCUGAUUAGCUAGUUGGUGAGGUAAUGGCCCACCAAGGCGACGAUCAGUAGCUGGUCUGAGAGGAUGAUCAGCCACACUGGGACUGAGACACGGCCCAGACUCCUACGGGAGGCAGCAGUGGGGAAUAUUGGACAAUGGGCGCAAGCCUGAUCCAGCCAUGCCGCGUGAGUGAUGAAGGCCUUAGGGUUGUAAAGCUCUUUUGUCCGGGAAGAUAAUGACUGUACCGGAAGAAUAAGCCCCGGCUAACUUCGUGCCAGCCGCCGCUGUAACAC